rnacentral:tRNA from 2 species
GGGCAGGUGCCUAGCGGCCGAGGCGCCCGCCUGGAAAGUGGGUAGACGGCGCAGGUUCGAAUCCUGCCUGUCCGCCA